rnacentral:rRNA from 1 species
UACGUAGGGUGCAAGCGUUGUCCGGAAUUACUGGGCGUAAAGGGCGCGUAGGCGGCGUGUUAAGUCAGCUGUGAAAUCUCCAAGCUUAACUUGGAACGGUCAGCUGAUACUGAUGUGCUAGAGUGCAGAAAGGGCAAUCGGAAUUCUUGGUGUAGCGGUGAAAUGCGUAGAUAUCAAGAGGAACACCUGAGGCGAAGGCGGGUCGCUAGGCUGACACUGACGCUGAGGCGCGAAAGCCAGGGGAGCAAACGGG